AAAGUCGUAACAAGGUUUCCGUAGGUGAACCUGCGGAAGGAUCAUUACCGAGCGGAACGUGCCCCGGCCUUCGGGCCCGGGCUCAGUACCUCACCACCCGUGUCUACCUUAAACCGUUGCUUCGGCGGGCCCGCCGGCCCAGCCGGCCGCCGGGGGACCCCUGCGUCCCCGGGCCAGUGCCCGCCGGAGACACCCCCAAGAACACUUGCCUGAAGGUUUGCUGUCUGAGCGGUAAAAAAGAAUAUCGUAAACAAAACUUUCAACAACGGAUCUCUUGGUUCCG
rnacentral:misc_RNA from 1 species